rnacentral:lncRNA from 1 species
GAGUUGGGCCAUGUUUAGUUACUCCCAACUCCCAACUUUGACACUAUGCAAAAAGAAGAUUCCCCAUCACAUCAAACUUGCGGUACAUGCAUGGAGUACUAAAUGUAGAUGAAAUUAAAAACUAAUUGCACAGUUUUGUUGUACUUUGCGAGACGAAUCUUUUGAGCCUAAUUAGUCAAUAUUUGGACAAUAAUUCACAAAUACAAACGAAACGCUACAGUGUGCUACAGUGCUGUAACAGUAAUUUGGCACCUCCCAAAUUCCCCAACUAAACACGGCCUUGGUAAACUUCUGUCGGUGGGAUCCAAAGUCAAUGCUCCCGUUCACGGAUCACGGCUCACGGAUCACGACGCGGCUGCACGCGGUCUGCGCUCCACGGCUCGCGGUCGCGGCCCCACGUACAGAACGGUCGCCGCGUUCUGCAAGAAAUCCAUCGGUGCUGUCACAAAAGGCAGCUGCGGUCUGCACUAUUGCGUCCGGAAAGCUGGGCAUGUACAACGGUAAUUAAUAUGCUGUCUAUUUUGAUGCCACAUAAGCCUGUUUUGCUGAGUUGGAUCAGAGAGAAAGAAGAGAAAGGGAAGACGUCAUCGCACGAGAUAACGACGCGCGGCCCGUGCUCCCACACCCGUCAACGGCUUUCAACCUCCGUUGUCUGAACCACCGUUGUUCCGCUCAGAUCCGAUGAGAAAUCCCCGAAAUCGACCUCCCGCUCCACCUCUUACCUCCUGCGCAAGCCUGCCGACCUUGUCAUGCCUCGCCGGUCGUCGUACCUCGCCUCACCGGCCUCGUCGUGCCUAGCCACGCCUCGCGUUGCAGGCCUGCCCCGAUGCGCCUUGGAGCGCCAGCCUGCCUCACCGUGCCGCCGCGGCUAAGCUGCGUCGUGCCGCGCGCACCUUGCUUCGCCGGCUAGAUUCACGUUGCCGGCAGUGGGUAGCGCCGUGAAGGACGAGAUGGAGAGAGAAACAAGAGAGAUUGUGGGAUCAAAACUCAACCUCACGUGAAACGGAGUUAAGGAAGGGAUAAGGAGUUAUCUCUUAACAAUAUAACAUUCUUAAAAACAAGCAACAUUGGUACACAAAUAUAAAUAUAAUCUUGAUCAACAUGAUUCAUUGUAUCAUGCAUAAAUUAAAUAAUACAUGAACAUCUUAAUAGACAAGUUACCAUAUAAGUUGUCUGUUUUACUGCCUACGUGCAAUAUCCAAGGUACUCAGACAACAACCAUCCGCACUGUUGAACGUACCCCUUGACCACGGCGGUGUAAUCAACCAACCAGCGAUGCGUCCGGUGCCCGUGGCUCCCUUUCUAGUCACCUGAAAGUGCAAGCGGGGGGCAGGUGCGAGGGGGACAAAACUACAAAAGGGAGACAGUCCACGGCGCGGGCACACCAGCCGGAUCGGAACAGAUAAGACCGACCGAGCGGAGCCGAUGUGCACUCAACUGACGGAUGGAUUUGAAAACGGAGGCAGAGCAGAGAGAGUAACCAAACCCAAGGGACGUUUUCUAUAAUCAUCCAGCUAAUACCUGGGCUGUAAACAAUUCCCUGUAGCCAGCCAGCCGCCCCGCAAGUUACCCGCACAUGGGCUGGAGUGCUGGACGGCCGUUGCGUUCUCGCUGUCCCCGACGUCACACGUAUUGCCAUUGUAUCUCGACGCCCGCCGGAUUCAGACCGUAGAGAGGUAGGUGCCGGGUUGCCAUCGCCUCGCCCCGAGUCGACACGGUCAGCCGCCGCCGCACGUCUCCACGAGCGUUCCGCGCGACACGUCCAUCGUUGCCCCGGCAGAUCACACGCGGUUCAGGCUCGCUCACCGACCCCCCGGGACACGGAAGCCACCAAGCCAUCUGCCCUCGGCCUCCGUCCGGGACGCGCCCGCACGCCACCCAACAACCCGCGGCGGGGCGGGGGGGCGAGUCGGGGAGUGGUGGGCGCGCACCACUCUACUUCUACCGCCCUGCCCGCGGCGCUGACCCAGCGCACGCACACCACAGCACACGAACACAAAAUGCAGCGGCAGCAGCAGAAUCCCCCGCCGCCGCCGCACCGGCACGCGAAGACGGACUCGGAGGUGACGUCGAGCAUGGCGCCGUCGUCGCCCCCGCGGGCAGCCUACUACGUGCAGUCGCCGAGCCACGACGACGGGGAGAACAAGACGGCCGCCUCCUCCUUCCACUCCUCGCGGCGUCCCCGCCGCGCUCCUGGGGCGGGCGUCCAGGGACUCCUCCUCCUCCCGCUUCUCCGCCAGCGCCAAGGGCCCCUCCUCCCGCGCCGCCGCCGCCGCCAACGGCUCCGGCUCCGCGCCCGACCCCCGCGCCGCCGGUGGGGGACGCGGGCGCCGCGGCGGAGGCGGCGCGCCGUGGAUGAAGGAGGCGGCCAUCGAGGAGGAGGGGCUGCUGGGGAUGGACGACGACGGCGACGACGGGUACGGCGGGUCCGGCGGCGGCGGGUGGAGCGGGAUCCCCAAGCGGGUCCGCUACGGGAUCCUCUUCGUGGGUGCAUUCUUCGGCCUCUUCUUCUUCUUCGCGCUCAUCCUCUGGGGCGCCAGCCGCAACCAGCGGCCCGUCGUCACACUGCACUCCGCCACGUUCCACCGCUUCGUCGUCCAGGCCGGCACCGACGCGUCGCUCGUCCCCACCGAGAUGGCCUCGCUCAACGCCACCGUCAAGCUCACCUUCCGCAACACCGGGACAUUCUUCGGCGUCCACGUCUCCUCCGAGCCCGUCACGCUCUACUACACGCAGCUCCAGCUGGCAUCCGGCAAUGUAAGCCACUGCUCAUCCCUCUGCCUCCUGCCGCGCAUGAUCGAUCGAUCGAGUCUCAUUUACUAAUUCGCUCAAUUUCAAGGAUGCUAGAGUAGCACGGUACAUAUGAUUUGUCAGUUUUUGAUGCUGUUAGAAUCUGAGGAACUGAACUAUGCAGUGCAGUCUCAGUAAUGGCAGUGGCGGUUUCUUAGUGCAAUGGUCUUAGUGCAGAGUCUCAGGAAACUUGUCGCUUUGAUGCCAAAUUUCAGGACAAGGUUUCUAGAUUUCUAUGCUAACCGUUAGGAUACGUUAAACAUCAAUUUUUUUUACAUAAUCUCCCAAACCAAUAGUAGUCUGCGAAUGCAUAAUGUAAAGAACAGGGCACACAUUUUUCAGUCAUUAUCUUUGCUUGUAGCAGAAUAGCAGUAGAUAUAUGAACGCUGGACUACAGCUGCACACUGACGUUGACCCGAACAACGCGCGGUAGCGGUUGCGGUCGACAGCGAACCGCUGACGGGAACACGAGAGCACAGUCACCGGCCCAUGCCGUGGAAACUCGAGAACACACAGCUCAUCCCUCGCAGUUACCCACACCAUCUCCAUCGCUAGCUGUCAUCCGGCUCACCCGGGUCGCCUUCCUGCGAUCCUGCAUGGCUGCACAUCGCAUUCCGCAUUUACGUUAAAAUUCAAUGGCGAUUCCUUUUAUUUAAUUUUUGGAAAAGAAAAAGGUUCUUUGCUUGGCGAGAUGACAAUUGACCGUGGCUGGACGCUGCAGAUCAAGUACUUCUACCAGGCGCGGAAGAGCCAGCGGAGCCUGACGGUGUCGGUGGUGGGCGACAAGGUGCCGCUGUACGGCGGCGGGUCGAGCCUGAGCAGCACGCCGACGACACUGCCGCCGCCCAAGAAGAAGAUGCCGCCGGUGGUGGUGCCGCCGCCGCCGGUGCCCCUGCAGCUGACGGUGCGGCUGCGGUCGCGCGCGUUCGUGCUGGGCAGGCUGGUCAAGCCCAAGUUCCACAGCGAGGCGCGCUGCAAGGUCACCAUGGACCAGACCAAGCUCGGCAAGCCCGUCUCCCUCAAGAAUGCCUGCACCUACAGCCACUGAUAGCUCAUUAUAGAUAUGCAUAUCCAUUGCUCGUCUGCUGUGGCUGCCGUCUCCGUCGUGGUCGUUGUUUGUUGGUUGGUGUUCUUGAACUCUCUCGGUCGAUAUACUGCGUGGCGUGGUGGAGAAUUAUAUUGGUCGAUUGCUAUGUACAGAGGAAUUUUUGAUGUGGGAGAGUUUGAGAUGGAAUAAGAAUUAAACGUUUCUUUCUUGAUGAUGCGGCGCUCGUUUGAAACUUGGAUUGGAUCAGAACAAGCUUUGUCAGUUACAUGUUUCAGAAGCCAUCUCGUCUCCAACAGAUAGAUGGCUCAAAUCAACAGCUACCGUUCACCUGAAAAUUCUCCUUAUUUCACCUCAAAUCACCGAGGUCUUGUUCUUUCAUCUGAAUCUGACGAAUGUAGCAACAAUGGUUCCCCCCUAAAAAAGAUCAUCACAAAGGAGGACCCGAUCGAGAUAAAUGAGCAGAUCCGUGUCACUGUUGCAAAGUAGGGAGUACGCACGAGAUGCAUCAGUCAACUGCAGUACCCUGUUCUAGCGAUCAGCCGAUCCUAGCGCAUUGAAUUGAAGUACUAGCAGGGUUCAGUGAAGGCGUCAAGGGAUGGAGCUCACAUGGACGCUGUCAGAUUCAGGCAGGCAGUCAGAGAUCGGAAUUCAUACUGCUAGUAGCUCUCAAUAAACAAACAGGCAUCGAAUUCAGGCGUACAGGGGAAGUAUUAUCCUGACCGCGUCCCAGCUGAAGCCGCGGACCCAACUAAUGCGAGUAGUUUACUCUGGCGGCGCACUAAACUAUGUUCGGAGAGGCGAGAUGCGUUAAUAGCUGAGCACAUUGUUGCUCUGUUAUAGAAAAAAAGGUUCAGCAGAUUGCUUGGGAUUUGGGAAAUGGCCGUGUUAAGCUUGGUCACAUUGAACUUGUUGUUUCAGUUUUUUUUUAAAUAUUCAAAAUACUUGUUGUUCUACAAAUCGUAGACAAUUAUGGUCGACGUUCUCCACUCUUACCUAUAUUUAUCAAGAGGGGUUUAAAACCCCUACCGAUUAUAUAUACAAAUUAAAAGCAAAAAAAAGAAGAAGAAAGAAUAGAGAUAUAACACAAAGCAAAGUGUACAAGAUAGGAAGAGAGAGAGAGAGAGAGAGAGAGAGAGAGAGAGAGAGAGAGAGAGAGAGAGAGAGAGAGAGAGAGAGAGAGAGAGAGGUGAGAAGGGAUAAAAUCGCACAAGGGGACUCUAGCCAGGAUCUAAUUUGAGGAAAAUAUUUCUUCUUCGCACGAAGCGUAAGCAUGUCGAAUUCAGUUUUGAAAUUUGGCCUUGCAAGUUGGGACUGUUGGUGGCGCUUGGUUGAAAAUGCAAUUGUUCCUGACUAGCCAAAUACUCCAGAGAGGAGAAUAACGAUUUCCAUAAAAAAAAGGUACUGUCAACUGAUUCUUGAAAUGGCUCGUGGGGGUCAUCAGAAUACUGAAACUUGGACAGAGAUUAGGCCCCCAACAAGCAAUAGCAAAGGGGCAUUACAGAGAAUACCCUCAUAUGAGGGCAAGUCCAUGUUACGUCUCUGUAGAAGCCCUAUGCUACUCAGGCACUCAGCCUGCCCUUCGUUAGAAGUCAGAGAAAAAAACGUUAUGUUUAAGCUGGCUACAGGAUGAUUUCCAGAGCCAUUUAAAAGAUGGCGGCAGGAUCAGUGUGCCCGGCUACAACUUUGUAUGCUUUUUUUUUUUGAAACGAAACAACUUUGUAUGAUUGCUAAGAGGAGAAAUUACAGUUGCCCCAAAUGUACUUGCAAUGUGGAACAUGGCCCCAUUAUGGCAUAAUUUGUGAUUUUAGUGAUUGAGUGAUAGCAUAAUCAUUAAGACUAAUGGUUUGUCAAGCAUGUGUCUUCUAGAUUUUCUAGGUCCCAAAUAUGUAAACUAAACCAUGCCAAGAUCGUACUCAAGCAUCCAAACCAUAGUAUUCUUGAUAGCUAAUUCAUGGUAUUCAAGCAUCCAAGCUAUGGUAUUCAAGUGACAAAGCUAUGGUAUCUAGGAUUGUUCUAUGGUAUUCAAGCAUCCAAAUGAUACAGAAAAUCCAAAGAUGUAAUCCUCGGUGUGCAAGUGGUGGUAUUCAACACAGAAAAAGGUACCAUCGGAUGUUCCGAUGGACCAUCCAAGCCAGCGUCGGAGUGAGCAUCGGAUGAAUUGGUACAACUGCAGGUGGCAACCUGAGUCAAGACCAUCGGAUGUUCUGAUGCCCCAUUUUCAAGAAGUGUCGGAUGACUUCUGAGGUAAAGAUGCGAGAAUUAGAGGAAAACUCUAGACCAUCGGAUGUUCCGAUGCUAAGUCGAGAGUAGUGUCACACGAAGCAUAUUUACUUUGGAAUCGUCCAGAGAGGUUUUGGGAGAAAACCCUUCUGCACCGAAUGAUCCGAUGGUGCCAUCGGAGGAACCAUCGGAUGAAUUUUGGAUGUGCCAGUGAAGAACUUGGGCGUGGGGAGGCCAGAUGUUCCGAUGCAUGCCAAAACAAACCAUCAGAACAUCCGAUGGUAUACUUUAACUAGCUGUUGGAGCAACGACUCUUUGAUACCUUGGGCUAUUUAUACCCCCUCCAUUCGCCCAUUUGAUGUUGCUGGAGUGUGCAGGAAUCUAUUGGAGAUCAAGACUCAUCAAGAACACAUCCAAGCCACCAAAAAUGCUUAAGUGAUAUUCUAAGGCUUAGCACAAGCUUAUGAGAGUGAUUAGUGUUAGGAUAGGCCUAGAGAAAGAGAGAUUGCAAGGUGUGCCUACCUUGCGAUCGGUUCUAGGAAUGAACCACAGUUGUACAAGGUGUGCUGGUGCCUUGGAGCUCUGGUAGCUCGCCGGCAAGUUUUCGACCCUCCGGCUUGAUGUGGAGCGGCGUCGACGACCGUGUGUGGGGGACGUGGAGUCCUCCUUCCUUAGUGGAGAAGCUCCUUAGUGGAGAUGGCAUCAAGAUGACCGGGGAACUUGGCGUGAGCCUUAGUGGCCAAGCCUUUGUGACAAGUCAAGGGCCGUCCUGGGAGAGACUUAGUGAUCGGGAAGCAAUACUCUUAUGUGAGUGCUUCAACAACGUGAACUAGUGGUGGCUUAGUGCUUACUGAUACCAUGGGAUAAAUCAUCGUGUGAAGAGUUUGCUUCCCCUCAUUUCUUCCUUUACAUUUCCGCAUUUCAUACUUCCAACUUGUGUGCAUUUACUUUCUUAGUGUAAUAUCUUGCUAGGAUUGACUUUAGGUUGCAAAACUUAUUUUGGAUGAGGGUUUCACAUUAGAUUAACCAUUGUUGCAUGUCUUGAUAGCACGAUCUAAUUUAAGUUUGAUGAAAAAUAGUGGAAACUAUAGAUUGUCCCUCCCUCUCUCCUACGACACGAGCACAAUGUUUACACGAUUCCUCUGAAAAUACUAGGCUCUCAAGCUUAAACUGCAAGAGCUGAAACUGAUCAUAGGCAUGCGGGGACAGUUGGAGGUUACUAUCAAGGCCAACAACCCUUUGGACUUAUGUUCAUUUUUUUUUAAGGAAAAGAGAUCUGGGAAGGCCUGCUGUGGCCUAUCUAUAUUUUAAUUGCACCAUUAAAUAACUUCCUUCUGGCCUAAACUACUACACUCGCCUGACAUUGGUGAAGUCUGUGCUCACGUCUCAAGCGGUCUACUUCCUAACUUUAUAUGCGGGCUCCAAAAGCGGCCAUGAAAUAGAUCGAUGGGAAGCGAAAGCAGUUUGGGCUGGAACUGGAUCUUUGACGGGAGGGAAGUGCAAGGUCAACUGGCCUCGUUCCGCUGGGCCAACUAAAUCAGGAGGCCUAGGUAUUCUUCACUUCGGCAGAUUUGCAAGAGCUCUAAGGUUACAAUGGCUUUUGCAUGAAUGGUCCGAUGAACAAAAAAUGUGGAUUGGAUCGGAAACCCCAUGCAACUCAACUGAUAGAAAGCUCUUUGCAGCCGCAACCUCACUUCAAUAAGGCGACGGGAAGAAGGCGAUAUUCUGGCAUAGUGCCUGGCUACAAGGCCGACGGCCUUGUGACAUUGCACCUAAUCUCUUCACAAUUUCAAAAAGAAAGAACAGAAGUGUAGAAGCGGCAUUGUGCAACAAUAGAUGGCUUAAAGAUUUGAACCUGCAACACGCUGGGUUCUUGCCUCAGCAUUUUGUCGAGUUUGUUCAGCUAUGGCAAGCCAUCAGACACAUACAUCUACAACCGCGAACUUCAGAUACGAUUACUUGAAAGCUAACAAAAGAUGGCAAGUAUACCACAGGUUCAGCUUACAGAGCCCAGUUCCUAGGAUCGAUGGACACUAAUUUCCACUCCCUGAUUUGGAAAAUAUGGGCACCCCAAAAUGCAAGUUCUUUGGCUGGUUGGCUCUGCAGAAUCGACUCUGGACUUGUGACCGAAUGGAAGCUCGAGGCUGGGACAAUAAUGGCUGUUGCCCGCUUUGUCGUCAUGAUCCAGAGAUCGCAAUCCACCAAUUUAUAAAGUGCCAUUUAUAGAAUGCAGAUUCACAACAAGAAUUUGGUAGGCCUUAGCAACUUGGACAGCCACCGACAGCCUGCUGCCCAGUUCUUAGCCUGUCAGCAACUCAGUCCACCAAUGGUGGGCAACCAUGGCCGCACGAGGCGUCUUCAAAGGAGACGUGAGUUAAGAUACAUGAGACGCGUUUUUUUCCGUGUCUUCAAAUUUUCAUCUCUGAUGACAAGUUAUUGGAGACACGGAUUUGGCAAAUUCGCGUCUCCUAUGGUAGAGUCAUCAGAGACGCAAAUUUGGUAACCCACGUCUCCAAUAACCCUCAUAGGAGAUGCGGAUUUGGUAACUCACGUCUCCAAUGACCAAUGACAGAGUCAUUGGAGACGUGUUUUGUCAACCCACGUCUCCAAUGACAAAUUAAAAAAAUAAAAAAAAGGAAAAAGAGGACAAAUACACAUUUUAUUCAUCAUAUACAUUACAAAUACAUCACACAAAUCUUAUUUCAUGAGGUGAAAUAUAUAACUAUGUUCUCAUGGGAACCUCGAAUGACAUGCUAUAGAUGUUACAAGCCUCCUGAAAGAAAUAACAAAUUAUGUUCUCAUGGAACUUGGUAAAUAGCAAGAAAACGAAAUACAACCAAUUAUCAAAGAUUCAGACUUCCAGUCGUAGAGAAAGAUCAGUGGACUCGCAUGAUGGGAUAAGUAUGGGUGGGGAGNNNNNNNNNNNNNNNNNNNNNNNNNNNNNNNNNNNNNNNNNNNNNNNNNNNNNNNNNNNNNNNNNNNNNNNNNNNNNNNNNNNNNNNNNNNNNNNNNNNNUUGUUAUACUCAAAUUAGGUUGAUGUAUAUGCUUGCAUUCUUAUAUGAGUGAGAUAUUGAUGGCUUCAGAGCCCUGUGAUAGAUUCAGCUGCUCUUGUAUUCUUGCAGAUGCUCAUACAUCAUGCGUCCCCCCACGAUCCGCUAUGUCUAGCUCCGCAUCCUCACCGACCCCGCCUUCGCGCUCCACCCAACUGCCCCCUGCUCGGCUUCCUCCACAACCAGAGCAUGCUCCAUCUCGCCCGCGCCGUCCCCGCCCAAUCACCUCCUUUUUCCUAAGAAGCACAUGGCUAUACAAGGAUGAGGCAUCAAAGAAGAGGGCGCGGCCGUGGCGGUAGUCGUGCACGUGGCGCAUGCGAUGGUCGGCGGCGGGGGAUGGGCGGAAGGAGGAUGUGGUGGUGGGGACGAAGCGGGCGACAUGGAGCAUGCUCUGGUUGUGGAGGAAGCCGAGCAGGGGGCAGUCGGGUGGAGCGCGAAGGCGGGGUCGGCGAGGAUGCGGAGCCAGACCUUGCAGAUCGUGGAGGCCCGCACGAUGCCCGCGGGGUCGUCCGGCAGGAGGCGGAGGAGGAUGACGUCAAGGAUGGUGAUGGGUGGCGGCACACUCGACAUUGUGGUAAUGCCCUCGGAAUCGAAGAGAAGUGUUCGCCUUUGCAUCUAUAUAUAUAGAGUAUAGAGACCUCCUUCUACCAGGUGUGUUCUUCCUCCUCCUCCUGUAUCACCGCGAAACCCUAUCACAGAUCGAUAGCUGCCUAAUGUCGAUGCUUCCUUCCAUCCAAGCGAGUUCAUCUUCCAUGUCAACACAUGAAUUUGAUCUUUAUUUAAUAAUUUGUCUGUGUGUUCAUUGGAAAGUUCCUCGUAUUCUAAAAUAUUCUCUACACGUAUUCUGAACUGCAUGCAGGCUUUCCUUUUAUUCUGCCAAAAUUGCUUGGUAGCUUGAAUUAUUUGAGGGCCAGUUUGGCAGGGCUCUGACUCCUUCUAAAACAGCUCUGGCUCUAGCUCCUCUGGUGGAGCGGCUUCUUGGGUAGAGUUGAAACCAUUUUAAAAACCGUUUGGCAAAACGACUUCUUUCUUUUUUUAAUGAAUGCAUUAAAGAUGUCAAUUGUCCAAUAUGCCCCUCACUAUCUAACUUUGUUGUACAAAUGAAUUUCGUAGUCUCAUUUAGAUAUAAGAUAAUUUCAUAUGAAAUAAAAAACAAAUACUAAUUAUAAUUAUAGAUUAAACAAAUAAUUUCUCUUUUCCUUUUUUCUCUCUCUUCUUUUUUUCCUCCCUUCUAUUCUCUUACCGUUAAGGACCUUACGUCCUUAUCCUUUCUCCAGCUCAGUGAUGCUCUGCCUCCCACCGCCUACUUCCUUCGUUCCUUGCCGUGCGCUACUUCUGGCUUGCUGCCUCUUCGUCGCCGCUGCGCAGGCGCUCAUUUUGCUCCGCAGCUGCUGCCCGACACGCGCCGUGCCGCAUCUCUGCCGGACCACACGGAGCAUAGGUGGGGCUAUCGACGGCACACCCUUUGCUCCCGCGCGGUCGCGCUCUGCCCCGACGUGCCGCUUCCCCACCACCGUGCUUUGAGCCCGGCAUGCUGCUCCCUUGCAGCACGUUCCGGCCAGCCCCAGCACGCCACUCCCUGAUGCCGCGCGUGCUUCCUCGGUGAGUGGCAUUUUUGUCGUAGUGUCUGCAGAUUUGGGGGUAAUUGCAUACUUUUGCAUGUGGGGAUGGAGGAGCCGUCACCGGAGCUAUUUUUUUUUUGCUCCGUGGGCGUAGUAAAAAAACAGCUCCGGCUCCAGGUGGGCUUCGUCCUCGAAGCAGUUUUGCAAAUGGCCGUUUGGUAGGGCUCCCGGUGAAGCCGGCAGUGGAGCUGUUUUGGGAGCCCUACCAAAGGGGGCCUUAGUCAUCAUGUAUUACACAACCUGGCCUGUGGUACGGACCGUGCAAAGUAUUAUGAACGUAAUUUGAUAUACUAUGCCAUGAUGAGAUUGUCGAUAGACACGCCAACUCUGUUAGGUUUAGAUUUUCACGGUUGUGCUGCAGCUGUAGCUGCGGCAGCCAACCACACAGCCACAGCCAAAUAGUAGCACCGGCACUAAGGGGGUGUUUGGGAGGGGGGUAAACCCAUUUUAGUCAGAUUUUAGCCCUUCUCAUCCAAACACCUAGGCUAAAAUGAAGAGGCUAAAUUUUAGUCCCCCAUAAUCCAUUAGCCCCUCCAACGGUGCUAAAAUGGACUGAAGGGGCUAAAAGUGGUCCCCUUGUCCAAAAUUCCUCCCCUUGCCCCUCUCUCUCCUCCCUCUCACUCCUCCCCGCCAGAUCCUGCCGCACAGCACCCUACCGCCUCCGCCUCGCCGCCACCCGACCCGCCGCCUCCGCACCCCUCUCUCGGCGCCACCGGGCUUGUCAUCCCCGUCGGCGAGGGAGACGAGGAGGACGGUGGCGGUCGUUCGGAUCCGGGGCGGCCGGCCGGAUCCUCACUCCCCAUCCUCGCCGCCGCUGCCGGAUCCGCACCCCGCCUCCGGUCGGCCCCGCCACCUGCGAGGCCGGGACCGCUCACCACCGCCGCUGCUACCUUCGCCCGGCCGCUAGAGCGCCCAAGCUACCGGAGCCGGAGCUUGAUCCGCCGCGUGCCCAAGCCACAGGUGGAAGACGACGCGAGCUGCACGUAGGACGGGACCGGCAGGAUCGGUAGAGGCGGCGGCGUCGCGGCCGCGGAGGCAGUGGCGCCAUGGCGCAGAGGAGGAGUAGGUGGGCGAGCAGCACAGGAAGAAGUGUUGCAAUCUUCUGUCAUGGAAUUGGCUUGGAAGGAAGAAAAAAAUCUUAUCCUUGCACUGCCGCAGGAAGACGUAGAAGAGGGGUAGAGGAGAGAAGAGAAAGCAGGGGUAAAUAGGUCUUUUGUCAACAUAUGUGCUAAAGUUUAGCCUCCCACCCAAACAUCCCAAAAGGCUAAAGUUUAGCACCCUAUUUGAGGGGGCUAAACUUUAGCCCCUCCUCCCAAACAGGACCUAAGGGGUNNNNNNNNNNNNNNNNNNNNNNNNNNNNNNNNNNNNNNNNNNNNNNNNNNNNNNNNNNNNNNNNNNNNNNNNNNNNNNNNNNNNNNNNNNNNNNNNNNNNUAUCACUUAAGCAUUUUUGGUGAGUUUGAUGUGUUCUUGAUGAGUUCUUGAUCUGCAAUAUUAUUCGUCCACGCUCCAGCAACAUCAAAUGGGCGAAUGGAGGAGGGUAUAAAUACCCCUCAGUAUCAUAGAGUCGUUGCUCCAACAGGGUAGUUAAAGUAUCCCAGUGGAUGAUAUGAGGGUUUGCUUUGGCAUGCAUAGGAACAUCUGGCCUCACUACGCCCAAGUUCUUCAGCUGGCAAUCCAAAAUUCAUCCUCAUGGUUCCUCCGAUGGCACCAUCGGAUCAUUCGGAGCAGAAGGGUUUUCUCCCAAAACCUCUCAUGAGGAUUUCAAAGUAAAUAUGGUUUUUGUGCCAAUACUCUCGACUUAACAUCGGAACAUAUAAUGGUCUAGAGUUUUCCUUUAAUUCUUGCAUCUUUACCUCAGAAGUCUUCAGACACUUCCUGAAAAUGGUCCAUCUGUGCAAUUAGUUUUGUAAUUAGCUCAUAUUUAAUCCUCUUAAUUAACAUUCGAACAUCCGAUGUGACCUGCUAAAGUUUAGCACCUCCUAUCCAAACACCACUUAAAUUGGAUGGAAACAACAAUAUUCGUAGGUGUUUUGGGCCAGCAGCCGAUCGGCGAGCAAACCCGCGGCAGCCUGUUCGGACGGUGGAUGCUGCCCGCUGUCUGCUGCUGCUGCCGCUGCAGCUGCGCCGCUCUCUGCCGAGCAGCAGUUUUUUUUAUAUAUAUACGUGAAUGACCGUAUCUGAUCUGAAUGUUCUGAAUGUUGACCGAUGGUUUCUUCUUGUUUGAAUUAUUAGUAUAUGAGAUAAAAGAAGAUCCAAGCUUUCCAAAUUCCAAGUAAAAUAUUGUUAUCUCUUCACGCAUUUUCCUCACGCCUAACAUGCUUUUGGUGUGGUCAUGUGGGGUGGAUGCUAGUGUUCCUUCAAUGUAAUGUAACACCACAAGUGCUCUGUAAGCAUCCACGAUAAGGUUCCGAUGCAAUUUAGAUCAGAAGCAGCAGCAGCUUGUCAGUUACUCUUAGGUUGUUUAAUUCAGAAGCUGCCUGGCCUCCAACAGAUAGAUGGCUCAAAUCAACAAAAAUAUUUUUCCAAUUCUGCACGCAUUAAUUUUGUAUAACUUAACUUAAUUGAUCUAUUAUUACUGCGUACCAUUAUCCUUUUAUUAUUUCUUUCCUAACAUGAUUCCUGUGUUAUGGAUCCAUGGAGAGUUAGAGGAGGCCAAAUACUUCAUGAAAAUCAUUUUAAUUUGCACAUGCAACAAGUUAAUUAAUACUCCAUCGUUCCAAAAUGUAGGUUGUUUUGGCUUUUCUAAAUAUAUUGGCUUUUCUAAACUAUAUUUAGAAAAGCCAAAACGAUCUAUAAUUUGGAACGGAGGGAGUAUGUAGUACUAUCCUUUACUACGUGUGUGCUAAUAACUAAUAUGAUUCACGUGUAGUGAUUCCUGCACUCUAAACGCCUCUUCCAAUUUAUUCUUUGUGCUUUCCAAACCGUUAUUUUGCCUCUACCUUAGAUACAAUGGUUAUGAAAAUCUUCCCACAGCGUGGAUGCCUGUUUAUACUAAUAGAAUUUGUGCGUAGUGAUCCUUUUCUGCUGUUUUCAGGAAAAAAAAUCCUGUUGUUUGGUAUGUCUAUUUACAUGACUUGCUAAAAGUAUAAUAAUGAAUGUUUGUGUGCAUGCAUUAUGCAGAAGACAGAAUAAAAUUUCCUCCUCUCUUAAACAAAUAUGAGAAGAGUAUGCUGCACAUUUUAUAGUUCUCAUCACAUCGAGAUAGUACAGUUUGGUGGUCGUUAUGUUAGUUAAGAUGAGCCCAAACGAGAGACACCAAGCUUGGGCUGAGCCGAUCACAUCCUUCCCUUUUUCUCGUCUCUCUUUCAAAUAUUUUAAUAUUUUUAUUUUAAGGUUUCUUUGUCCAGACAAACCUGAAAGUGGAAUGCGACUCAAUUAGGCCCAGUUUGAUGCAGCGUCAUGGGCUCUGGCUUCUCCUGGCAUUUCACUGUAGCAUUACUGUAGCACGGAACCUCUUUUCUCUCUUCUCUCUCCCUCUCAUAUCCAGUGGAGGAGCUCCGGUGCCCGGCCAAACAAGACCUUAUACAUCAAACUUUGUUCUAGACCACACAUCAAAUUAACUUUGUUUAGAGCACAUACACAUCAACCGUAUAGUUUGAUAAGAUAUUUGCUUAGCUUUAGAUAAGGUCCUUAACAAAUUAAAGUAACCUAUCAUCCCUCCUUUUUUUUUCUCCUCCUCGGCAUUCUUGUCUCCACAACAAGCAAAAGCCGCACGCCUCCCGCACCAACCGCUUGAAGAGUAAUCGACCUCAACAAAGCACCACCACCAUCAUCGGUCACCUUUGCAUCAUGCUGCCGGCCUCAUCUCGCUUCAUAAUCACACCAAUCAUCAGUAAUCGCCGUCCAAAAAGGCAUUUGCUAGGACAAUGCCACCUUGCUACCCUCUGCAACCACUGCUAUUAUACUGUCCAGUACCAAUCUCUUACUUUUUUUCCUUGUACUUGUGCCCAGUUGAAUUUGUGGAGUUUGAAAUUACGAGUGUUAUACGCCAUGUGUGCAAUGAGUUUGCGAGAAGCAAAGUUUUUGGAGUGGGAUGGGGUGGCAGAGGUUUUCAGAUGGAGUACUCAACUGAACUGUAUUAUGGAAGUAUGGAACGGAGUACUCAAAGCCUCGGAGUUUCAGAUAGAAUAAUGCUUGGUUUGGAGCCUGCCACAAGCAAGUUCGACGAAGCCACACCACGUCCAUUUGCUCUCUCCAUGAUGGAAACCUGAUGAUUUGAAGCAAUGCCGGACUGCAGCCUGACAAGGAGUUUCAGAUCACUUUCAGUUAGCAUUGCCAUCAGGAAUUAGAAUCCGUUACGCCAAAAACUCAGAAUUGGAUAGGCGCAUGCAACUGUGCCGCACUGUUCCACCUGAACAUUUUGUCCUUCCUCAAAAGUUUCAUCAGCAAAUAUAAUACUAAUUGAUCCGAAUCUCGCAGCAAGCAAGAUCGACGACGCCACACCACAGCUUCUCGCUGAAAACCUGAGGAUUUUCUCAACGCCGCCCUGCAGACCGAGUCACUGACAGGGAGUCGAUGCUAUUACCAUCGCCGUCAGAAAUUAGAGUCUGGUACGCUAAAAAUAGAAUUCAAUGAACAAUGCGACCCCGGGAAUAAGAACCCGUUACGCGAAAUUCAGAAUUGAAUGAAGAACGAUGCAACCGUGGUGAAGCACUCCUCCACCCUCAACGGUUUCAGUCACUCUCCAAUCUCAGGCCUCCAGUGAUCCAGUCAACCGGAUUGCUCCGCGCCGCCACUGAAGGCGGCGGCGGCGAAGUAGAAGGCCGCCGGCCGUAAAGGAGCGCAUGAAUGGGGAAGGCAGCUGGCAGCACACACGACGACGACCGCCGGCUAGAAAGUCUGAUGAGUGCAGGGAGCACCCACGAACACAACCCUGCAUUGUUUCUAUGCUCUGCUGUCCUGCAUCGAUCAGCUCCAUUUUCAUGCGACCGUAUCAGCACAUCCAUUCACAGAUAACAAAUCCAUCUCCAAAUCACGGUCCCCUUUUCCCCUUAAUUUUUGCAAUCCCUACAGCACUAGUGCCAAGUGGCGCUGAUAGUACUGCACUACUGCAUAACGAACUGAUUGACGCGUAAACAAGGUGUCAUGGAAUUAGCUCUGUAAAGGCGCGAGGAUUAGAGAGGACAGUAAUCAGAUCAGAUCAGCUCGUGCGCCCGGGUGCUAAUGAAACAAGAGCCGCUGUCGUGGGAGGAAAGCAAGCCUUAGGCUGGUGACAUGGACGCGCACCGAACGCCCCGAUGAUACAUGCUUUCGCGCCAAGCUAAUGGCACUAUGCAAUGAUUGCAACGUCGACGAACAUGCAGGCCACCCCCGUCAUCGGCGAUCACAGACAGGCCGAGCUUGCUUUGGUGAUCUUCCAAAGAUUCUUCUUGGGGUUCUUUUUCUUUGACAGUUGAUUAGUUCCAUACAAGGCCAAGCCGCCAUGGAAUCCAUUAUGUAUAUAAUGCAUCUGGUAGGGCGGCACCACUGCGCCGGCGACGACGCGACGACUGCGAGUGCUCUCCAGUCGUGGCGUCCACUCACUCACUCUCACUCAGCUCAGCUCUCGCCACUCCGCCGCUCAUGCAUAAGAAGCGGCAGUUCUGAGCUCAAGUGAGUCAGCUCAGCUCAGCUCAGUUCAUCCAUCCACUCGCUCGCAGUCUGUCUGCGCUGCGGCGUCUGACGCGAUGAUGUUCCGGGCCGUGCUGUCCGGGGCGAUCAGCCUCUUGCUGCUUGCAGCGGCGGCGGUGGCCGGCGGCGAACGGAGGUCGUACAUCGUCCAGAUGGACGUGGAGAAGAUGCCGGCGCCGUUUGUGGAGCACGAGGGGUGGUACCUCUCCGUGCUGUCGUCGCUGGCGUCCGCGACGACGACGGCGGCGGGGGAGAGCGCGCCGCCGCCGGUGCACCUGUACACCUACACCCACGUCAUGCACGGGUUCAGCGCCGCGCUCACCACGGCGCAGCUGGAGGCGCUCAAGGCGGUCGACGGCCACGUGGCGGCGUUCCCGGAGACGUACGGCCGCCUCCACACCACGCGCACGCCGGAGUUCCUCGGCCUCAGCGCCGGCGCCGGCCUGUGGCCGGCGUCCAAGUACGGCGACGACGUGAUCAUCGGGAUCGUGGACACGGGCGUCUGGCCGGAGAGCGAGAGCUUCAGCGACGCCGGCAUCAAGAAGCCCGUGCCGGCGAGGUGGAAGGGCGCGUGCGAGGCCGGUCAGAAGUUCAACGCCUCCGCGUGCAACCGGAAGCUCAUCGGCGCGCGGUCCUUCAGCAAGGGCCUCAAGCAGAGCGGCCUCGGCAUCUCGCCCGACGACUACGACUCGCCGCGGGACUACUACGGCCACGGCUCGCACACGUCGUCCACGGCCGCCGGCGCCGCCGUCGGGGGCGCCAGCUACUUCGGCUACGCCAACGGCACGGCCACCGGCGUCGCCCCAGUGGCCAGGGUCGCCAUGUACAAGGCCGUGUUCUCGGCCGACACGCUGGAGUCCGCGUCCACCGACGUGCUCGCCGCCAUGGACCGCGCCGUCGCCGACGGCGUCGACGUCAUGUCGCUGUCCCUGGGCUUUCCCGAGACGUCCUACGACACCAACGUGAUCGCCAUCGGGGCCUUCGCCGCCAUGCAGAAGGGCGUCUUCGUGGCGUGCUCCGCCGGGAACGACGGCUCGGACGGGUACACCAUCAUGAACGGCGCUCCGUGGAUCGCCACCGUCGGCGCCUCGAGCAUCGACCGGGACUUCACCGCCACCGUCACGCUCGGCAGCGGCGCGACCAUCCAUGGCAAGUCGGUGUACCCUCAGGUCAGCCCGGCGAUCGCCGGCGGGAACCUCUACUACGGCCACGGCAACAGGAGCAAGCAGAGGUGCGAGUACUCCAGCCUCAGCCGUAAGGACGUGCGCGGCAAGUACGUCCUCUGCACCGCCGCCGGCGACGUGAGCAUCGGGCAGCAGAUGGACGAGGUCCAGAGCAACGGCGCCCGCGGCGCCAUCAUCGCCGGCGACACGAAGGAGUUCCUCCAGCCGUCGGAGUACACCAUGCCGGUGGUGCUGGUGACCGCGUCGGACGGCGCCGCCAUCGCCAAGUACAUGACGGCGGCGUAUGGGGGCCGCAGAGGGGCGCGGGCGCCCACGGCGAGUCUCCGGUUCGGCGGCACGGCGCUCGGCGUCAAACCGGCGCCGGCCGUGUCCUACUUCUCGGCCCGCGGGCCGGGCCAGAUCAGCCCGACGAUCCUGAAGCCCGACGUGGUCGGGCCCGGGGUGGACAUCCUCGCGGCCUGGGUGCCCAACAAGGAGAUCAUGGAGAAGGUCUUCACCAAGUACGCGCUCGUCUCCGGCACGUCAAUGUCGUCGCCGCACGUCGCCGGCGUGGCCGCUCUUCUGCGGGCGGCGCACCCCGACUGGAGCCCGGCGGCGAUCCGGUCGGCGAUGAUGACUACGGCCUACGUGAAGGACAACGCCGGCAACGUCAUCGUCAGCAUGCCGAGCGGGUCGCCGGGGACGCCGCUGGACUUCGGCGGCGGCCACGUCAGCCCCAACGAUGCCAUGGACCCGGGGCUCGUGUACGACGCGGCGGCCGACGACUACGUCAGCUUCCUGUGCGGCCUUCGCUACAGCAGCCGUCAGAUAUCGACGAUCACCGGCCGGCGAAACCCCAGCUGCGCCGGAGCAAGCCUCGACCUCAACUACCCGUCCUUCAUGGUGAUCCUCAACAGGACCAACUCGGCCACCCGGACGUUCAAGAGGGUGCUGACCAACGUCGCGGCAUCACCGGCGAAGUACAGCGUGUCGAUGACUGCGCCGGCGGGGAUGAAGGUGACGGUGUCGCCGACGGCGCUGUCCUUCGGUGGCAAAGGCAGCAAGCAGACGUUCACGGUCACGGUGCAGGUCAGCCAGGUGAAAAGGAGCUCAGAUGAGUACAACUACAUUGGGAACUACGGGUUCUUGAGCUGGAAUGAAGUUGGAGGCAAGCAUGUUGUCAGGAGCCCUAUAGUCUCAGCAUUUGCCCAGUGAGGAAGACAUAACAGGAGCAAAAAUAAAAUUAUGGCCGUAGAAAACAUACUAUAUUUGUAAUUAAUCCUGAUCAGGCACAGUAAGAAAUAUAGUCUGAAGAAAGGGGGGAAAGCCUCACCAGAUACUAAAUUACUACAGUUGACAAGUGUAUUUAUAAUUUAUAUCUGAUGAUCAAAUUAUAGAUUUCUCGAUUGUUUUUUUCUUCAGUAUAUCAGACUCUGCUGCAAAUGAACUGCAACCAUAUCCUGUAUUGCUCCAAAAGCAGCACACAAAUGCAAAAUGGUUGGAACUGAAAGGCACUUGCACCACAUCUUUGCCAAACUCAGAAUCAGAUGGGUGCUCUGUUCACCAUCAUCAAGAACAGAACGAACAUCAAUUUACUACAGAUAAAUUGCAAAAGAUAUACUAAAGACACGAUGGUCCAUGUUAAUAAGUUUCAUACAAUGAGUUGGAUCCAGGUACAUCUCCACCUUCACUCCUACGAUUUGUACCUACGGGCAUUGAUAGAUCAUAUACAAGAUAAAGCAAAGACAACUUCCAAGCUCCAAACGUAGCAUUGUUGCGAGAAGAUAGUUCACAAAAAUUGAUCAACAAGCAAACCCCAGUAUCUCCACAGCCAAUUGGAUCUGUAAAAUGGGGAUACUAGUAACACUAUCAACAAUAAUCCAAUUGGAUACUAUUAAACACAGAGGAAUUCAAUCUCCAAAGCAUCCAAAAAUAUAGUGUCCUUGGCUCCACAGAAAACUUGCUGCGCAGCAUAAAAAUCUUGAAAACCCAUGGCCAUCUUGCUGAUACCAGAUCACUGCAGGUCUGCAGUACUCAGACACCAUUCCUACAACUAGUCCAAAAUCCUAAUCAUCCUAAACUUCUACCUUAGGCUUAAGGUCACUGUCAGCAGAACAAGACCUGCAAAUGAUUAUCCAUAUCACAUCAAAGUCAUUUGCCACCCACAGUUAGGUACUCUCCAUGCUGUUGUUGACCAUGUUAACAUGGGAGGAGAUGUAUGCGAAAACUAAAGCCGAUCAAGCUAGAUGAGUUAUCUGAGUGGCCUGACUGCUAGCUGUGUGGCUUUGGAGCUCCAGUGCCUUGUAGCACAGGUGCAUCUCUUGUACUGGCAAGGCAGAGGGGCCAGUACAAGUCUGAGAUGAUACCAGGAGGUAAUGCCUCACAAGUACCCAAAGGAUAAUGAAGUUUUCUAAAGAGACUUAAACACCAGUUCCAGUACAUCUGAUGAUGACAAUGACAAUGCACCCAGGUACUACGACGGUCAUCAAUCACACAUUUCAUGGUUUCAACUGAUCCUGCCAUUACGGUGGGCUGUUUCAACUGUUAUUGGAUUCGCCGUUAGCCAUAUCAUAAAAUGUUCUUGCACUAACUAUAGUCUCAGCAUAUCCUUUUUCAUCAGCAGUCGCAAAAUUACUUUCAUGGUUACUGCAAUGGAUCAGGUAAUGCCUGGUACCAUCCACUUUAGUAUCGAAUGUUUAUCAGGGUCUCCGGUCUCCGACAGUCUGAUACCACAGGAUGUCCUACCCAUGGUGAAGGUGAACUGUGUCAGCUGGUGUGGCUCCCAAGGGUACACCAUCAUAGAUGUCCCAGACCAAAUGGUGUUCCAAUUGACAUCUAUCACCAAAAUUAAUCUCAUGUCAAUUGCAGAUAAGUCGUCCAAUAAUUUUCUGAUGAUGGCAUGACAGAAGCAGAUAAAUUCCAGUAGCAACCAUGAAGUGGUCAACUAGUCAUCGUGGCAGAUGGUUCGAAAGUACUCGAGGAACCAAGUGAUUUCCUCAUGUUAAGGUUGUAUAUCAGGCUCUUAAAUGAUGGAGACACCAAGAAUUACAUAGCUGCAAGCCUGCAACAAGAGCACCAAGUUCCAUAUUCAUUUCAUCAUGUUGAAUUGGGGUUGAAACAAACACUAUGAGAUGGGUUUCUGCUGAGAGAAUUGAAUGCUGAACAAGAAUGCAUGGAGAUCAAUGACACCAAGCUGAUCAUCCAGUACAUACCCGUUCUAUCAUCGCCACAUAAUCAUUACAAACCUGCUUUGCUGCAUGGCAUGCAUGAAGGACGGGGCAGUAACCAUCCAGUCUGCCAUGACAACAUCAUACUUGGUCAAAGUAAUGAUAAUAGCAUAAUUUGGUCAAUAAAUCCACUAAGUAGAGUAGGCACAAUUCUGCAGUGUUUAGGUCAUAGCCGUGUCAUGUUAACCCUUCAAUUUAAACUUUAUAAAAAUAUAAAUUAUGCACCUGAUCCGUGCUUCUUGACUAGAGUUCUUCUGUUUUGUGCCUCCAUAAAUCUUUCCUGGGGCAGUAAUAACAAAGAUACCCCACACCAGCUCUGCCGGUGCCCAAUCUUGAUGUACAUUAUAUCAUUCUUUAUAAGAUCAAACAAUUCUGCAAUACUCAAUGGGAUAUUAGGAAAAAUAAUGUAAUCUACAUCCAAUUAAAAUAUUCACAUGGGCAUCCUAACUGGGGCUACCGGGUUAAGGAAACAGUGUUCAGAAAUACAGAGGUAAUGAGAAAAAUUAGCUUUGCACGUCUGGGUCUUUAAGUAAUACAAUAGGCAGAUCUCCGGCCGGCUAUCUUCAAAAAGAAAAGAGGAAGCUUUGCCCAUCUGGGCCUUAAGUAAUACAAUAGGCAGAUCUCCUGCUGGCUGGGUUCAAAAAGAAAAAAAAAGGGGACCAUGGCAAGGGGAUUAGCAAUAAUGUAUGUAUCAUAUAUUCUCAAAAAAAAAGUUAUCAUAUAUGACCUUAGCACAAGUAGAAGAUAUAUAUGUUUCGAACAGCAUAAAUUCUCUCAGGAUUCAAGUUAUGUUCUUGCUACAGGUAAGUUCAUUUCCAUAAUACUGUUAUUCUUCCAUAAUAUAUAUGGUCUAUCCAUAUAUAGAUGUGACAACCUAGAAGGGAACAAAAAAACCUGUCCAACAAGAACCACGAUUCAGCCAGCUGAUUAUAUACGCAUCCAACAUCGAACAGAAUAAAUGAAGAUGGUGGCUAAAACGUGUUGGUGGAACAUACCUUGAAGAGAUAGCUGAGAAAAUUAGCUUGUUGUUGGUGUAAAUAAGUAGCAACACUAGUACUCACAGUCACAUGGUGCUGUUGUGCUGGCACCUUUUGAGAAGAAAAUCAACUGAUUAGCUGAUGUAGUGUAUAUAGGUGUGAUAAGAGGUGUUAAGUUUUGUGUGAAUAAGGAUUGUGAAAACUAAGCACCUGCAGGAUUUGUACUAUCAACUGAAAGCAUGAAGGAUGAAACAGAUAAAAUUAGAUGAUAGACACCACAAGAAAAUUAAGAAAUAUCUAGAUGUUACUUCAUUUAACAAGGUGCUGAGGGCCUCAAAUAUGCUGCCCUGUAACACAUUACAUCCUUUGAAAUACAAAAAAUUAGCACUCUUCCUUUCGAAAUACAUCUAUAUUUACACUUGCUAUUGCAUAGCAAAAGGACCACCCAGAGUCUCAUACUUCUAGGUAAGAUACUCAUGUUGUAAACUCCAACUUUACCUUAAGUUCUCUCUGCACUAUCUAGUAGCCAAACAAAGUAUGCAGAUUCAUAAAUCUGGACCAAAGAAUAUUAAUCAAAUAUAUCAUUGUUCUGAAAUAGAUUUCUCAAUGGCUUUCACAUAAACAGCCUUUGGCAGUGUCCCUGUAAUACUAUGUAUUUUCUCUCCAUCCUUGAAGAGUAAAACAGUUGGAAUCCUGUCGAUAUUGUAAGCAGUAGCAAUCUGCGGGUAAUCAUCAGCGUCGAGCCUAUAGCAUUUUAUUCUCCCAUCAUAUUCUUGUGCUAUCUCAUCGACAGUUCGUGUGACCAUUCUGCAAGGUCCACACCAGGAGGCCCAAAACUCAAUAAGCACUGGUACAUCACUGCAGAUCACAUAUUCAUUCCAAGAGCAUGCGGUGAUUCUUUCAGCUGUAGAAACAGACAGAAUAUUGCCAUUAGACAGUUUCCAAAUAUUUCUAGACAAGCUUCAUGGAGAAAAUUUUGAAAAUACAUUUAUGUCAAACAUAAAGAAGUUGCUCUGCUCAUGUGACAGAGAUAGGAAACUUGAAAAGGUAAAGACUUGUAUAGGACAUCUGAGAGUCUUUAGUUAGCUGAAUCACAAAGAUGACCUAACUUGUUGGGUUACCUAUCACACAAAGGAGACGAAUAAAACAAUGCACGAGAUCUACUCAAUCAUACAAAGUGUAGGAACAGGAGCAGACACCAGAAAUAUGAGGAUGUAGCUCAAAAAUCUGCAGGGCAGUCAGAUAAUAUAAUAAGCACAGACGCAUGAUAGCUACUCUAUCUUUAUGGUAAAACACUUUGGGUUUUGAGUUGUAUUCACCAUCGUGUGUAGAACUAACUCGCACGUAGAUAAAAAUAACCAUUUACUCGUGAAAUUUUCAUUGCACGGGAACAGGAACAGAUAUUGGACUAUUUCAAAACAGUUCCAGCCAAGUCCAAUUUUAUUUCCAGAAUUGAUUACCAUAGCUAAUUUCAGCAUGUAUCAAGGCUCAACUUUCCACCAGGUUCAGAUAAUCACAGCUUCAACUCAAAGGAUCAACUGCACCAGCCUAAUUCUUCUGCCCCUGUCUCAUUCCAUUCCCAUGGGUUACAUUCUAGCUUCCAACAGGCUGCGUUACACCACAGCAUUUAGGCCGUACCAUUGGAGCACAAGUCCGCCAUAAGCAAGUAAGCUACAAAGCAAUGCCAAGUGGCAACUACAAUACAAACUCGAAGCAGGCUAUUGGCACUUUGGCACAUUCCAUCCGAAUAGCAGUUAGCGAGCAGUAAGAGAGCAUGGGAAACAAAGCUUUCACGCCUCAACGUCACGGGGAUUCAAUCAAAAUCAACUAGGCCCUUACCGCCGGGGGGGUAGGCGCAGAUCACCCUCACUGCCGCCGCGCGCCGCGACGGCGGUGGGCGCCGGAUCCGGGACGCGGCGGACUCCGGCCGAUGCGCCCAGCGGCGGCACGGCCACCGCCGGGCGGAGGAGGAGCCGGAGCCGACCAGCCUCCAGUGGCGGGACGCGGAGGGGGAGAGGGCCGGUAACGCCACGGCGGAGCAGAGCUGGCGCGGCGGCGCGGGGCAGGAAGCGGCGGCGGCGGCCAUGCGUGACUUCGUGAGUCGAGGUCGAGUCGUGGCGGAGAAAUGCGGUUGGUAGAAAAUUCACGAGACAGCCGCACACGGCCGAUCCUGCCUCAAGACAGCGACGGUUGACCCCACGGCGAAAACGUGCGGGCGCCCGACUGCCGAGCGUUGGGCGUUAGACCCUUAGCCUUGCGAUUUCUCUCGCGUCUCGCUAAAACAAAAUAAAUUUGACGUAAAAAUAAAUUUCGGUAAUAGUCUCUAAAUUUAUGAGAUAUUCUCGCUUAAGUGUACAAACUCUAAAUUUCAGUAAAUAUAACGUUUGGAUUGCAAUAUAUAAAGCAUAGGAAUUACUCCCUCCGUUCACAGAUACUAGGCGCAACUACUUUUUCUAUUUGUCCACGGAUACUAGGCGCAAGGGGCUGCGCAUGCGCUGGAUCGACGGCUGGAUUAAUUGCUGGAGCGUUGGACUCCUCGUACCACUCCCCUCCCGUUGAAUCUAGACGUUAUGGCGUUAACUGAGUCCAUAUAUCUACCCAGAAUAGUAGUCCUUGCAUGCAUCUCUCGCUGGCUUCUCAUCUCUUACCACUUCACUUGCAUUUGACCGACGAUGGCGAAGCGGCAGGUCGUGAGUGCCCGUUGCAUGCGCGCCCGAUGCAUGCAGCAGCAAGCGCAGCUAGAGCUCCGCCGCGCUCGAGCCUUUCGUGUCGUGCCAUCCGCGCGCGGCAGCUGGCGAAGAAAAGCUAUGAAGAUGCCGUCUCCAUGCAGCAGCAAGCCAACGGUGAAUCUGGAGGUCAUCCGCUCGCGACCAAGGCCGAUGUCGAUCAUGGCGCCGAGAUUGACUUUGACAGCAUUCGGUAUGUCCCUGACUCACUAGCCGGCGACACCUAUGUUCCAGACUCAUUUGAGGACGUCGAGGAAGAAGCUAGCAUUGCUGUAGCUGUUGCUGCCGAAAGAGAAAAAGAAAGGGAAGCAAAUGAGAAGGCCCUUGCAAUCGUCCGUCCUAUGAUGUACAAAAUCGUUUUUCCUAGUUUUCCUGAAUUGCAUGAAUGAUCUAAAUAUUUUCAUGAUGUAAUCGAUUACAUGCAGUCUAGUUUGCUGAAGAUCAAACAAAAAAGAGACAUGUUGUAAGCUAUGCAGUGAUGAAACGCACUGCAUCUACAUAAAUUUCCUUCUCUACUUGCAGCCUUAUUGGAAGUUGACCAGUUCUCUCCAAUGUUCCCUUAUUCAUAUGCGGAAUUUUGUAAUGAUGUCCUCCUUUUGCAAGCAUAAUCUCCCUCAUGCAUGCUUGUAGUGUAAGGAACACACGAUUUGCCCUGUCCACCGGGUAUUCUAGAUAGGCUUUAACCACAUUAGCCUCAAUUUCUUGGAUGGUUGACGGAGAUGACUUUUCAAACAAUGUCUGCAAGGCUGCAAAAAAGCCUAGAUCCAAAACAUUAAGAUCAGGAGAAUUGGGUGGCUGACACGUCAACCUUAUAUCCCACCCAUCUUCUUUUGCAACACGGCAAAAAUCCGGGUCAUCAACUGCAAUGUGAGUCUUCGCGUUGUCUUGUUGAAUGAAUAUUGGGCGUCCUCGUUCUUCAGCAGGCCAUUUUUCUUUGACGGCAGGCAAGACCUUGUCGACUAGAAACGUACGGAUAGUUUCUCUGUUGACCGAUGUCAUGGCCUUUACCUCCAUGGUUCCUGUAAUCAACCAUGCAUGCAAGUAGAGUAACCAAGAUAAGUAGAGUUGCUAUACUUAGUGCUCCUAUUUAAACAAAAUUAAAAUUCGUACCUCUCGGCCUAUUGGGACUUUUUCUCUUGGCCGGCUCCAAUUUAGUGAAGGGAAAAAUUCCUAUUUUACCAUCAAAUGUGCAUACACCAUUCUCAAACCUUGGGCGGGCUGUCACAGCAAGAAACAUCACCUUUUCAAUGAAAUUUUUGCUCUUCACAGCUCUACGAGGGAUCUCUUCGCCCGGCGCCAAGUAAUAAAUUUGGUUUUUCUUUGUCCUAUAAAACCAUUUCUCAUCUAUGUAAAUGACAUUGUACAAAGAUUUGAAUGUUGGGUCAUCUGGUAAGCUAAGGUUGUCAAGCAUUUGUGUGCAAAAUCGCACACGUUCCUUCAUGUUUUGUUCAGUUAAGGUGAACUUUAUGGCAUUUGUAUGGCGCCUAAACUUUCCUUCUUGUAGACGCUUAUGCAAUGUGCUCUUUGGCAUCUUAAUGGAAUUGGCUAGGCUACGGAUAGUUUGACGCUCUCUAAGUGGCACAUCUUUGAUUACAUCUGGGUUAAAUGGAUGUUUUUUACUGCCACAAUUUUUUUUUCUUAUUGGAAUCAAAAGCUGAAAUUCCACCACCAGUUUUCCCUUCACGCCAUGCACGCUGGACAACUCUCCACGGCACCCCCAUAUCACUAGCAACAGAUUUCGUCACUCCCUCCUUCAGCACGCCUGGAGUUGUUCUUUCUAAGCACAUCGCGUACAUGAUUCUUUUAAAUUCAGGAGGGUAGUACCGCCUCCUCUUGAUAUUGGCAGGAGUGCCUACACAAAGACAUUGGCAUACUCAAAUUUUGCAUGGGACUGUUCAUUCAGCUUUGCAUGCAUAAAAAUAAAAAUAAAAUAAUGAGUGGAGUACCUGAGUCAAAUGCCACAACAUCAGCUUCAUCGCCGGCGUCUGCUUGAGGCACGUAACCAGCUUCCUCAACUUGCUGCACAGAGGCCGCCCCUUGAACUUGCUGCACUGUGUGUGCACCGCUGCCUGCUUCAGGUUCGCCAUGGACUGCUUCAGGUUUGCCAUGGACUGCUUCUGCUUCAGCUGUGUUGCCGUCACCUUCACCUUGGCCAUCUUCAUCUUGGUCGUUGUUGUCUUCGCCGUCAGCUGUAUCAUUGCCAAUAAGUACACCGCUCGUACAAUGAAAGAAUACAAAAAAAAAGAGAAAAGUCUCUGUGAUUACCUUCGUUGCCAUCGUCCCAAACAUAGUCGUAGUUCAACUCAUGUACUUCUCCCUCAAAUUCCCCAAUCUCAUCCCAGUUGAUAGGUUCAUUCAAAUCUAAACCAGGCAUGGUGUUCAAACAAAGAAGGAAGAUUAGAGAAAGGAAUGUUGUCAGCCGCACGCGUGCUUGCAUUGCCUAUUUAUAGGAACACAAACGAGCCAUUAGUGGCGCCACUUGCAUGCCGAAAAACCAAACUAGUUAGGCGCCAACAGCUGAAAAGAUAGCGCGGGCGUAGAUGAAUCUGAAAAAUUAGCGGAUGUAGAUGAAAGCCGAAAAAAUAGCGCGGGUGCGAUUUGGAUCUGCAUGCAGGUGUGAAAAUUGGAAGGAAAAAACGCGCGUGGAAACGGGAAGGAACGCGGGCUCUCGGAAAAACUCGCGCGAGCGGCUGCAUGGUGCAUGCAUGCACUGGAGACGGAGAAUGCGGAGCGUGCUCGAUCGGUUAACGGCGCGUUACGGAGAAUGCGGAGCGUGAAGUUAUUACGGGGAGGAACCGAACGUUUUUUCUGGCAACGAGCCGUGAUUAAUGUCUUCCUUGGUCUUUGCAAUUUUUGAAUCGCGCCUAGUAUCCGUGGACGGAGGGAGUAGAAAAGAUAGAGGCAUACCAAAGUUUUCAAGCCUCAUGUAAGUUUGCCUUCGUUUCAUAAGAAUUUUGUUGGAUUUUAGAAUGAUCGACCCUUUGUUCUAAAGGAUCACAAAGAAAGGAAACAUUUGCAUAUGAAUCCUGUAGGUGCAAAUUUAGGGACAAUAUACGAACGCACUCGAACGUGCAGCGUGCAAGGAGCUCCUUGCAGCACCUCCACAAAGGUCGGUCAGACCGGUUUUGCGGCGAGUCCAGCGAAGAAGCCAACGAACGCUCGCCCGGGAGGGAUCCUGUUAGCGUAGGCGCACGCAGGGUUGUUCUAGGGUCGGCAGGCCACCUAGAACAUUCUCAAUCGAUGUAGAGACGAAAGAGGAACAACAAGUAGUAGAUUGGAAAAGCUAGGGCAAAGGGAAAAGAUAAAAGAUGUAUUUUUGAUCGAUUGGAUGCCCUCAAUCGACCAUGGCACUUUAUAUUUAUAGGGAGGGGAGGUCUUGCCCCUAAUGGAGUCAAAACCUUUACAAAUCUCGUGCAAAAAAAUACAACUCCUACUCGGACUCUACAGAUCCAAACCGGUCUGACCUGUCUCCUCGGGUGCAGAUCUUACCGAGGUCAUAACUCUCUCAUCCGAACUCCAAAUCGGACAUUCUAUAUAUGAAUUUUGAUCUACUCAAUGAGAGCUACAUAAUAGUGAAGUCCAAUUUAAUUUGGAGGAUUUUGACCAAACUGGUCUGACUGGUUGGGAGACCGGUCUAGACAGGUCUGACCAGAUCUGCCAAUUUUGGUCGUCAACACAUGCCUCCCUAUUUUUUGCAAAGUAUGAGUGCCAAAAAACACUCUCCUGGACCAAAAUUACCUAAGGACGAUUAUGAAUAAUGCAUCAGCCAUAUAUUUUUUCCUCUAAGGGUGAUACCAUCUUAUCGGCCAUAAGACUUGCUUUUAAUUCAAGAAACAACUUGUUUUGGCCUCCAUACUUGCUUAGUAGCUGCUAACCUCGCUAGCAUCACCUCUGCAUGUUGCUCCACUGAUCGUUGCUUCCGUAGUCGUUGUAAUCUUCUCUUUUGAGUACUCAGCUGUGGGAAUUUUGAAUUUUUCUUGAUGUCUUUCUCACCUACUUUAUGGUCAACAGAUGGACUUCUGUCCAGAUCAUUGCUA